ensembl:lncRNA
AAAAAAAAAACUUUUGAAAGACCAGCCUAUGCUAAAUUUGACCUAUUCUUGAAAGAAAAUAAUGUCUGUUUAUAAACUAUUUGCAAGACAGUUUACUGCUUGCCUAGAUUUUUACAAGUAAAUCCUUCAGUUUCCUAUUAUUAAUAGCAUAAACCUGAUCUUGCUUUAGGACUGGGUCUCAGAGGAGGGGUCUAGGUCUAGAUCUCAGCAUGUGUAGAAUUGGUCUGGGUCUCAUGCAAUGUGGUCUUGGUCUAGAUCUCAAGGUCUGUGGUCUCGGUCUAGAUCUCAGGGUCUGUGGUCUCGGUCUAGAUCUCAGGGUUUAUUAACUUGGUCUAGAUCUCAAGGUCUGUGGUCUUGGUGUAGAUCUCAUGGUCUGUGCUCGUGGCCUAGAUCUCAAGGGAUGUAGUCUUGGUUUAGAUCUUGGAUGGUGUGGUCUUAGGCUGAGUUUGUACUUGUUUUAUCUACAUGUACACAUGCAAGAUAACCUGGCAUGCAUAUCCUGUAUUCCUUUGGUCCAUCAGUUGUGCACAACCAAAACAGUUGAGGAGACAUGUGCACCAAGAUAGGACAGGGGACAUAUAUGAAGCAGUGCAUGCAUUCUAGUCACUGAAAAAUGUGCCCACUUCUGCAACAAGAUUGGUUUAAUGGCCUGAUGUACCAUCUACAUUGUCACAGUUUCUGCCACUUACUCAAGAUACACCAUCAUAGCCUCCUCAACUCCCACUAUCUUCACCGUUCAUCCUACUUUUCAAAAUCAAAAGAGGUGGUCAAAGAAAGCAUUGUGGUCCUGGCGACCUGCAUCUAGCUGACAUCACUUUGAAUCAUCUGGAUGUACAAAAUUUAUGAAAGCAAGUAUGUGCAAUAAUGUCACUGUGAUAGCCAGGUGUCAGCUAUGACCCAUCAUUAGGGUGCAGGUUAUUGGCUUGGGUUUCAUGGGGUUUGUUCUACAUCUGGGUUUCAAGGCAUUUGGUCCUAAGGGUUGUGGUCUUGGUUUUGUUCUGGGCUUCUGGUGGUGUAGUUUCAGUUUUGCUCUGAGUCUCAGGGGUGGGGUAAUGUUCUGGGUAUUAAGAGAUGUAUUAAGAGUUGAACUUAGGAUAUGUGGUAUUGGUCUAGAUCACGGUUGGUGGCAUCUUAGUCUAGUUCUCAUGAAAUGUGGUAUUUGCCUUGCUCUGGGUUUAAGUUAGUUGCCUUGUUGGUCAGGGUCUUAGAUGGUGUGGUUUUGUUUUGAGUCUCAAGAGGUAUGACCUUGGUCCGGGUCUCAGGGUUAGACCUGGGAUAGGUCUCAAAUAGUGUUUUUUUUGUGGGGCUUCAGCUGUAUGGCCUUAAGGUCUGGUUCUCAGAGAGUCUUGACUAUAAAUAUGGUAUGUAUACAGCAUAUACAGUAUCCUCUGAAAGUAUUGGAAUGGCAAAGUUAAUUAUUAAAAAAAAUUACUAUACACUGAAGACAUUUGGGUUUGAGACUGUUUUGUUUUGGGGGGUUUUUUCUUCACAGCUGUCACAAUGUUUCUGCCAUCGACUGCUGCCAUUUUCCUGGCUGACCUUUUCAGUGUUUGCUUAUUAGUACACCAGUGGUUUCUUUCUUUUUCCUCACAUUCCAAAUGGUUGCAUUGGCUAUGCC